rnacentral:tRNA from 1 species
GGGUGUAUAGCUCAGUAGUAAAGUUCAUGCUUAGCAUGCAGAGGUCCUGGGUUCAAUUCCUAGUACCGCCA